CUGCACGCUGUCCGCAUGCUGUUUGCCCGCUGGCUGCGCGUGGAGGGCUACCGGGCCUCCCGGAGCCUCCCCGCUCCAUCCUUGGUGUGCCCGUUUCACAGGUCCCGGGGCCCCCUCCUCAAACCGGUUCAAAGUCCGAGCCCCGGGGCCGCUGCUCUCAGAGCUAAGCCGAGCGGUUUAGACGCGCGUCGGUUCCCGAAGAUGAGAGGGUCCAGGCGGGCUCUCGCUGUCAGGUGCAGGAGUCGGGCGGGGGGCGGAACCGGCAGUCGUCUCCCCUGAGGCCGGGUUGGGUGGGCGCGAACUGAGCGCCCUCCCUUGGUCAGCCGAAGCGCGCCGGCCCGGCCUCGGUAGCCACAGUCUGGCGCACCCGGCGUGUCCGACCCGGCCAGGCCGCGGGGUCCCCGGCAG
rnacentral:lncRNA from 1 species